rnacentral:rRNA from 1 species
UACGGGGGGAGCAAGCGUUGUUCGGAUUUACUGGGCGUAAAGGGCGCGUAGGCGGUCAGCACAAGUCAGUUGUGAAAUCUCCGGGCUUAACUCGGGAAGGUCAACUGAUACUGUGCGACUAGAGUGCGGAAGGGGCAACUGGAAUUCUCGGUGUAGCGGUGAAAUGCGUAGAUAUCGUGAGGAACACCAGAGGCGAAGGCGACUACCUGGACAAUAGCUGACACUCAGGCACGAAAGCGUGGGGAGCCAAAGGG